rnacentral:rRNA from 1 species
UACGUAGGGUGCGAGCGUUAAUCGGAAUUACUGGGCGUAAAGUGUGCGCAGGUGGCCGCGCAAGUCGAGUGUGAAAUCCCCGAGCUUAACUUGGGAAUUGCGCUCGAAACUACGUGGCUAGAGUGUGGCAGAGGGAGGUGGAAUUCCACGUGUAGCGGUGAAAUGCGCAGAUAUCAGGAGGAACACCAAUUGCGAAGGCAGCUCGCUGGGACGUUACUGACGCUGAGACGCGAAAGCGUGGGGAGCAAACAGG